CCUCCUAUACAUUUCUAGGAAUGUUAUUGGUUAAAAGCGUCAGCGUGAAGACCGUGUAUAUUUGAUAUUAGGUUAGUAGGGAGGCGGGGUUUAUUUCAUACACGGUUAAUAGUGGAGUUACGUCCCUUUAUAUUCCAUAUUAGGUAGUAGGGAGGCGAGGCUUAUUUCAUAUACGGUUAGUAGUGGUGUUACGUCCCUUUAUAAAAACAAAACGGAAC
rnacentral:lncRNA from 1 species